GCGUCUUAGCCGUUCAUGGCUCUGUGUUGAUUAUGUUUGAUUAUAUUUGUUAUACUGUAUUCGACAUUUAUGUGCUAAAUAUGGAUAUUAUAGACAUAACCACAACUAAACACCAUUUGUAUAUGCCGUGGAAUUAUAGGAUGGGUUGUUGUUUUUAUAUUUUCGUGUGAUCAAAUAGAUACUAGGCCUACUAAAUGGCUGAACUUUUCACCUGCAAAUGAUACAUUGUAUACUAAAAUACAGAAUGGAUUCUUUGUAAUUUGGAAGAUAGAAUGGUUUAUAGUGAUAGCAGGUAGUCCCGUAUUUAUAAAAGGAAUGGCUGGUAAUUUUUGUCAAUUGAAAAACUGUCAUUCAAAAUGGUUGAGAAGCGUGUAAACUGUAAAGUGUAGUAGGGCAGUGAAGAACAGACAAGUGUGAUCAAUGGACAUGCAGGACUUGUGAUACAAAAUUGUCUAGAAAAAGCUAUGUACAGGCAGUAAGAGUGGGAAAAUCUAUCGAUAUUUUAUGCUUGUUAUGCUGAGUAGCUGACACAUCCAGUGAUCCACGCACCACUAUUCCUACACCACUAUCAAGUUCUGAUAAUAUUUUGCCGGAUUUGCCAACACCAGAAAAGGCUACGACUGACCCAUCUUACAGACCCUUCCUCUCCAUCAAAGCGUAGGAAAACUGUGCACAGACGUGUUGUCUCAAGGCACCAAGAGAUGUCACAGAGACCACAGAAAAAUGGGUGGCAAUGUUGAGAUCACAGAGAAUUGAUGGAUUGAAGAUGUUAAUAUCACAGCUGGAUGAUAAAAAAAAGAAUGGAAUUGCUGGUUGUCAUAAUAGAAAGACAACCAGGCUUGAAAUUUGCGACAGUUUGACUAUUGCAGCUAGAGACACACCAGUCACGUCUCGACCACCACCGACAAAAAAUUAUGCUAUAGCUAUAAACGUUUGCCUCAAAAUUGCUUAUCUCUAAGACCGGAAAUUGAUCAGUAUUGAGGGCGUUUAGAUCGCAUUACAAACAAGAGAUGACAUUUUGUUAUGGUGCCAGAUGAUGAUGAACAGAAAAGGUUUCGCCUUGCUGUCUACCGUCAGUUUUGGAGGCACAGUCGACUUGGAAGAGAUAAUCAGACAAGUAAUAUCAAACUGUAUAGUCUGCAAAGUAAAGAGGAGGUAUCCUGACAAAUGGGCAUAACCAUGAAUGAAGGAGCACUGUUCAAAAGAUCUACCCAAAUUAUCAAACAAAACAUUUUUUCUAUUAGUUAAAGAUACAUUAUGGUGGAUUAGAUAAA